GGUGGUCCUAUGGUCUAGUGGUUAGGACAUUGGACUCUGAAUCCAGUAACCCGAGUUCAAAUCUCGGUAGGACCUUG
rnacentral:tRNA from 1 species